rnacentral:lncRNA from 1 species
UUCUUUUUCCUUAUCGCUCUUUUCUUUCCUCUCAUUUCUCACGUCCCACAACUUCAUUUACUUUUUUUCCUCUUUUUUUGUUGUUGUCUUUAAUGCUUUUUUAUUUAAUAGUGAUUCGAUGGAACCCUAUGCAAGUUGCCUACGUAUUAUGUCCUUCAUGAAUCAGAUCAGGCGUAGUUCUGGAAAUAUAAUAAACUAAAAACAAAAAUCUUUUUGAGUUUUCAUUUAUAAUCUUGUUUCGGUUUUCAAAUAUAAAACAGGAAAUAUGAUAACGAGAGACUUGAAAAAUUCAACUAUACUACAACAAACUCUAACACUAACUAAAAGAGCCAGUGCUACUGAACAUGACUAUAAAGUACAAGACAACAAAAAAGCAGACUCAAAAAAUAAAAAAAUAAAAACCUCCUUAAGAAACUCCUAGGUGCAACGGUCCUGACCAAAUGGUCCUGAGGUGUCUGUCAUGCUCAAGCUCUGGUAAGUAGAUCCACUCCUGUAUGAGAAAAAUAAGAUCAAAUAGAGUUAAAGACUUAGAACAUUAUGUGAGAUAAUAAAACAUCCUAUUGGACACAUGCAAAAUAUGAUUGAGGCUAUUUUUUAAAAUGGCUUAUGUGGCCAAAAGGUAGCUAGAAGUGCAAACUCAACAAAAGUGACCUCUAAGAUAUGGAAAAAUUACUUAGCAGAAAUAACCCAUUUUGUAGAAAUGGCCUAUGUGGCCAAAAAAUGGCUAAGCAUGCAAAUUUAACAGAAUGGACCUUAAACUGAGAGGACACCUUGUUGUGGACUUAGGACUCUAUGACUUGGGUCACUGAACCACUUUUGCGAAAAUGACCCCAUUUUGCAACAAUGGUCGAUGUGGCCAAAAGCGGCUAGACAUGCAAAUUCGACAAGGAUGGGGCUUUAAAGUAAAGAGAUACCUAAUUGUAGAUUCAAGACUCUCCGGACAAUUAAACAAACCACUUUACAAAAAUAGUCAUAUUUUGCAAAAUGACCGAUGUGGCCAAAAGUGGCUAGACAUGCAAGAUUUGGCUAUGACCCUCGAAGCCAAGAACUUAAGACUCACUAAGAAGACCAGACCCUAUGUGGACUGCCAAUGUAUCCCACCCCAAAAAAUGAGAAUCAGGUAUGCGUAGUUCGGGAAGAUUGGAUAAGGGCGAGAAUUUUGAAAUAUGAUGAAACAUGUAAACUCUUUUUGGAUUUUCUUUUUCCCUUUUUUGAUUUUUUUUUCAAAAAAUGAUGGACAAGUGCAAAAUCUUUUUUUGGGAUUUUAUUUUUGUCUUUUUCUUUAAAAAAAUGUGAAAUAAAAAUAUAACUGGGCCCUACUUUCUUUAUUUUCACACUUCACCUUCUUUUCUCUCUCAUUUAUCCUCAACCAUUAUUGGUCCGUCAAAUGACCCUUUUUACCCUUGAAGAAUGGAACAUGUAGCACAUAAGAUGCAUCAGGAUGGUCUUUUAUUUUUGGGUACACCUGCCCUAGACGGACCCAACCCCUGUGUUGAGUCUCCAAAGUCAAAUGCACAUGAUGCAAACAAACGUUCCUACUAGGGAUUAGGCAUGAGACUAUGUUAUUCUAGGUUUAAAUUUAGGGUUGUGUUCUAGACCUGGCUUACCCGAACGGACAACUCGAGCCGGGGGGGAGCAUACCGGGAAUACAGAAGCUUCGCCGGCUUUGCAAAUAAUCCGAACCUCGUUCUAAAAUUGGGAUAUGACUCUAACAGAAAAGAAGCCACACGAAGCGCACGCUUCCCAAAUGAUUUAGAAGACUCAGAGAGAAGAGGGUUUCGUAAUAGUUUAUAUAUAGUCCAAGAAAUAUCAAAGUGGUAAAAAACGACAUUUAGCACAUUAGGCUCAAACACGUAAAAAUUAGAUAAUAAAUAAAAGCUAACUAUAACAGUUAUUCUAAGCUUGAAUUCUGAACCCUGAACAAGAUGUUCUGGGUUCUUCUCCCCAGUAGAGUCGCCAGAGCUGUCACACCUCCUUUUUUCCCGCAAGGGAUAGGGAGUUUUUCCAAUUAAAGUGACAAUAACCGAAACGGGAUUAUUUAUAUUCAAAUUCAGAGUCUCCACUUGGGACAAUUUAUGGUGUCCCAAGUCGCCGGUUUAAAAUCCCGAAUCGAGAAAGUUAACUCUUAUUUUUUAUCUUCGAACACAAAAAUUCGGGUAAAGAAUUCUGUUAACCCGGAAGAAAGUGUGAGGCACUUCCGAGUUUCGUGGUUUUAGAAUGAUCGCUUAACUAUUAAUAAUUGGCCUAAUUAUCUGUGAUGACCCUAAAGGUCAUCUUUUAUUUUAGAAGUUAAAUUUGCAUCCCGAGGCCUUGAAAAUCUCUUUUUGUCUCACCUCAUAUUGCGUGCACACUCCGGGCGAAUUUCCAGAAAGCUUUUAUGUGAAAUUUAAGAAAAAUAAUGAAAUUGGCCUUUAAAAUUGGUUAAAGUUGACUUUGGUCAAUAUUCUUGGAAAACGGACCCAGACCCUUGAUUUGACGUUCCCGUAGGGUCCGUAGUAAAAUAUGGGACAUGAGCAUAUGCCCAUAAUCGAAUUCUGAGGUCCCAAGCCAGAGAAAAGAAUUUUUGAAGAAAAUUAUUUGCUGGAAAAUAUAAAGGCUUUUAGAAGUGAAUUGAAGCAUUUUCUUGAUGGUAUCGGGCCCGUAUCUUGGUUUCGGAGCCCGGUACAAGUUUAAAAUAAUAAUUAAGUUGGAUCUGUGAAAUUUGGUAAUAAUCGAAAGUGGUUUUGUAUAAAACAGACCUAUAGUUGAGAAAAUAGAAAUUUCAAUGUUCUUGAGUGAUUUCAUGAAUUUGAGAUUUAAUUCGUAGUUGUUGAUGUUAUUUUAAUUAUUUGAUCGUACGAGCAAGCCCAUAUGAUGUUUUAGACUUGCGUGCAUAACUGGUUUGGAGACCUGAGGGCUCGAGUGAGUUUUGGAUAGGCCACGGAGUGAAUUUGGACUUAGAAAAAUUACUGGUAUGUUGCAGCUGUGUAACAAGCCUUUGAUCUCGCAAAUUUGAGAUCAGACCUCGCAAAAUGCGAGGUGCUCAGGUUUGGGAAAUGCGACCCCGGUGUCGCAAAUGCGUACCAAGCAUGGGCAGGCCCUCUUCGCAAAUGCGAGCACUAGGUGGGAAUUGCGAAGUCCGCCCAUCGCAAAUGCGAUAUUUUCCUUCGCAAUUGCGAAGAUGACAGGAUUCCAAAGGGGUUCACAAUUGCGACAUCUGAGACCUGCUAAAUGAGAAUUUUGAUGGGAUUUCAUCGAUUUUUCAUACUCUUUCAAACCCUAAACUCUCUUGGGCGAUUUUCCAAAGAAAGAUGCUUCUCCAAAUCAUUAGUAUGUAAUUUCUAACUUACUUUCUUCAAUCUAUAACAUCUUUUUACAUGAUUUCAUUUCAAAAUCAAAGGUUUUUCAUGGGAAAUUGGGUGUUUUGGGGUAGAAGUUAGGAUUUUCAAAUUUUUGGGGAUUUGGACCUCGAUUUGAGGUCCGAUUUCAAAACUAAUUACAUAUUUGAGUUCAUGAGUGAAUGGGUGAUCGGGUUUUGGUUCGAACUUCGGGUUUUGACCAAGUGGGCCCGGGGUCGAUUUUUGAUUUUUUGGAAAAAUUAUUAGAAAACCUAUUUUCAUGCAUUGGAAUUGGUUUAUUUAGCAUUUAUAGAUAUCGUUAAGUAAAUUGUGACCAGAUACAAGCGAAUUGGAAGUGGAACCGAGAGGUAAAGUGGUAGUAUAGGCUUAAUUUAUCUGUGGAAUCGAGGUAAGUAUUUGGCCUAACCUUAGCUUGAGGGAAUAGGAUUUGUGGUUUAUUUGCUAUGUGUUUGUAUUGAGUACGAUGUAUAGGUGUGGUGACGAGCAUCUAUACGUUGGUGUCAACCAUACCCGUGAGUCUUAUAUCAUGAUUGUUGUGACUCUAUUAUGUAUCGAUCAUGCUCAAAUUGAUGAUUGUUAAUGUUGAACAAAGCUUNNNNNNNNNNNNNNNNNNNNNNNNNNNNNNNNNNNNNNNNNNNNNNNNNNNNNNNNNNNNNNNNNNNNNAAAGCUUAUGAAAGUCUUUUGGUAAUUGAUUAUCGUUGAGAACUGGCACAAGUUGAGUUUCAUUUUUGUAAAGUAAUUGUUUAAAACGAGAUUGGUUAUUGCUGAAUCCCUUGCCGGGAUGUUUUGUUGAUAUUGUUGAUUACCUUGCUGGAUGUUAUUGUUGAUAUUGUUGAUUCACUUGUUGGGACAUAUUCUUUUUAUUGUUUGGGUGAGGAAGAGUGUAAAACAUGAAGGGUGAUGCCGUGCAUGUUAUUGUGAGAGUGUAAAGAACGAAGGGUGAUGUCGUGCACGAUAUUAUGAGUGUUAACGCACGAAGGGUGAUGUUGUGUCAUGAUUUAAGAGUUAAUGCACGAAGGGUGAUGUCGUGCCAUUUAUGAUGUUUCAUAUGGUGAGGACGAGAGUAAAAGCACGAAGGGUGAUGUCGUGCACGUGUUACCGUUUCAUUACUUUGAUUAACUUAGAUAUGAUGUUCAUUAUGCUCCUUAUUAAUGCUUCUUUACUGGCUUAUUGUUAGAAUUUGUUGUCCCCCCCCCCCCACACACAUAACAUGUCCCAUUUCCGCUUUAUUAUGUUGAUUUCUGUUAUAUAUUUCUAUUUGUACAUGAUUUAACUGUACAGGUAUAUAUAUGAUUGUCGUGUCCUAGCCUUGUCACUACUUCGUCGAGGUUAGGCUCGACACUUACUCAGUACAUGGGGUCGGUUGUACUGAUACUAUACUCUGUACUCUUUUGUACAGAUUUUGGUACCGGACCCGAUGAGUAGGUGAGGUAGCUGCCUUCAGUCCAGGGAGACAAAGGUAGAUCUGCUAGCGUCCGCAGAGCCUAAAGUCCCCCUCCCCUACUUUAGUUUUUUUGCUGUCUCUUUCAUUCUGAGAACAGUUGUAUCUUUCUUUCCAAACCAAUGGUUGUAGUAAAAAUCAUAGAUGUUCGUGAUAUUGUGACACCAGAUUCAUGGGUAGACAUGUAUUGAAGUACUUGGACUUAUUUUACACUUCUGCGCUUUUCAUUUGUUUAGUUAUAAUUACUGUUUAUCACUGUUUAAGGUUGAAUGUUAAUGUGUAGAACUGUAACAAUUGGCUUGCCUAGCUUUCACGCCAUCACGACUCUUGAGGGUGAAAAAUCCGGGUCGUAACAUUAUCUAAAUUAUUACAUAUUUGAACCUAUUGUGCUUUUUUAUCUUCUAACCGCGUUCAAUUAUUCAGUUAACCGCUUUUAGUAUUUGUGGUAUUAUUUCUGGAACAAAUUACGAUGUUGUACAUUUGUCAUUUUGGUACACGCCGCGUCACAUGAAACGCACCUGCGAUUUACAACAUAUUUAUUUUUAUUACUAUUCAAAAUUAUGGUCUGGUCACAUAAAAUGCACACCCGAAUUUGAAUUCAUGUAUCAUGACUCUGUCACGAGAACCGUACCCAUAGCCACGAUGAUUUAUUUAAUCGUACCUAAAUCAAGCUACGAUGUUCAUGAUUAUCGUCCUAAACUAAUUUGAGAUUGUUGUGAAGGCCAUAAGUUUGGGAAUCAAAAUUAGGUUAACUUCUAAUUUCAAAUCUAUAUAAUUCAUUAUACCACUUCACGAUCAAAUCAACGAAUUCAACAAUGGACUACUUACUCUUUUGGUUCAAUCAAGCCAAAUAACCCUCGGGAAAAAGAGAAGAAUUGAAGGACACAAUCAUCGAAAUGAAUAUUAAUGCAAUUGUUUGUCAGUUGUCAUCUACUAUAACUAUAAUGACAUUAGUGUUCUUGGUAGGACAUAUUCACAUCAUAAUAAAUUUCAAACAAUGGCUUAGUACAAUACUUGGUGUAGGAUAGGAGAAAAUAACAUUAAUUAUACUUCAAAAGGAUCAGCAGCUUGUAAUGAAGACAUGGCAAAUGACUCCUAAAUGUCAAUCUCAACUUAAUAAGAAGUAAAGCAGCCCAAAGUUUUUAACUAGCUAGGCGUUUUGGACAAUAUUUGAAUCGAAGUAGGAAAAAACAUAGCACUUGAAGCUAAAAAGUGUUGUGGAAACCAUUUUCGUUUAGAUAUGAACUUCACUUGAAAUUUUCUUUUGCAAAAAUAAAAAUUUGUGAGUGAAAAAUCUGUUUCACUUGAAAUAUAGCCUAAAUCAAUAUUUCAGUUGAAAUUCAAAGAAAAUACUUCUAAUUCGCGUAAUCAAUAUCCUUUAAUUUAAUUACUUUAACUAAUCUGACAACCAAUCAUUUGAAUUCCAAACAAAAUUUGAUUAGAGCAAUUUCAUAUUCGGAAAAAAAAAUCAUCAUUGCACAAACAAAUUAAAUAAACUUCCAAGAAUAUAUUGAGCAAACUAACGAGAUAGAGGAAAAGAAUAGACCUCAAGCAGAAUGUUGUCUUCACUAUUAUAACUAAAAUAGCCUCCUCAAACAACAAACUUGAUCCACGAUCGACGACACUCAACGGAGGACCCCACUGAACUCGAACUCCCUCAGAACAAAAGAACCCAGACAAAACUGAAGUGGAGCCCCUGAAUGACGACCACUGACAACCUCGAAGCCUACUAGAAGUAUCGAACUAAACCAGAAUGACAAAAACUAAACUCCAGCUGGUUUUUGAGUUUCUUUGGGACUGAUUUUGGGUUGUAUUGGUAUGGUUUUAUGGGCAAGAGGGCUGGUUUGGGGUCGCGCAUUUUAGAUCUGUUAAUCCAGCAAAUCAGAAAAAAAUCCGAAGAAGAGAUGAAGCCUGAGCAAUUUGCUAUGAAGGAAAUUCAGAACGAGUUAACAAGAAAACAACUAGAUGUGCCAUAUUAUCGUGAGCUUGAUGAGUCUAUUUUGUUAGAUUUUGGUCGAAGGUGGUGGUUGGCAGCGAUGAGCAGCCGGUGGGGGGAGGUGGACUGGCGGCAGCUAUGGAGAUUGGGGUCUUAGGUUGGAGAAGAUAGACCUAGGGUUUUUUUGGUGUUGAAGAUGAAAAACGGCUGGGUUAGGUGUUCUCAUGUUCAUUAGAGAUUAGGGGUCCUCUAGAAGGGUCUCAGGGUUAGCUUAGUGGGUAUUGGAUAUUGGACUUAUCCGAAAAUUGGGCUUAAAAAUAGAUUGUUUGAGCCCAAACUUUAUUCUUUCUCAUUGAACAAGACUAAAAAUACUACC